UGCUGGCAGCUGAAACUCUUCCAGUUCUGCAGAAAUCCCUUCCAGUACCUGGUGGGGGAAGCCCGCAGGGGAUGAUCUCCUAGAACCUUCUGUUUUUGCCUCUGUUCCUUAAUGUUUAGGUUGCUAGGAAACCAGGAGAGAAAGGACUUUCUGAGGCAUUUGAGGCCCAGGUUGUGUUAAUGGCCACAAACUGCAAUCAAGCUUCAGUGGCUGCCAGGGUCUGCUGCAGAGGUCGUGAGCGUCUAGUUGCACUGUGAGGCCAGUUUAUCUUCCUUUUCCUGCGCUUUUCCUUCCCAAGCCCAAGGCAAGACCCUCAGGGAACCAAGUCACCUACUAUGGGAGGCUAGUGAAGCCUCAGUCCCCUGUCCUCAGAUGCUUUGGAAGGAAUGAUUGGAUCUGGACCAAGCAGAAACCUGCGCUCUCUGAGGAAGGCAUGUGCUCGGCCAAUAAUGGUGCUGGCAAAGGACCUGUGGGCCACUGUCAUCCUUUGUUCUGCAGGGGAUGCUGUUACCCCCUGGCACUGGGCUGCCUCCUUAUAAGGAAACUGACCCUUGGAAGUUUAACAACUUGGCUAACAUCCAGUGAUCAGAAAGGGUGGAGCU